GGACUACUGGGGUAUCUAAUCCCGUUCGCUCCCCAUGCUGUCGUGUCUGAAUGUCAGGUCUGAGCCAGGUUGCCGCCUUCGCCUCUGGUGUUCCUCCGGAUCUCUACGCAUUUCACCACUACACCCGGAAUUCCACAACCCUCUCUCAGCCUCUAGACCACCAGUCUGACAUACGCUUGACCGGUUGAGCCGGCCGCUUUCAUACAUCACUUGAUGACCCAUCUGCACACGCUUUACGCCCAGUAAAUCCGGAUAACGCUUGCCACCUACGUUUUACCGCGGCUGCUGGCAC
rnacentral:rRNA from 1 species